rnacentral:rRNA from 1 species
GAUGAACGCUGGCGGCGUGCCUAAUACAUGCCAGUCGAGCGAACAGAUGAGGAGCUUGCUCCUCUGACGUUAGCGGCGGACGGGUGAGUAACACGUGGAUAACCUACCUAUAAGACUGGGAUAACUUCGGGAAACCGGAGCUAAUACCGGAUAAUAUAUUGAACCGCAUGGUUCAAUAGUGAAAGACGGUUUUGCUGUCACUUAUAGAUGGAUCCGCGCCGCAUUAGCUAGUUGGUAAGGUAACGGCUUACCAAGGCAACGAUGCGUAGCCGACCUGAGAGGGUGAUCGGCCACACUGGAACUGAGACACGGUCCAGACUCCUACGGGAGGCAGCAGUAGGGAAUCUUCCGCAAUGGGCGAAAGCUUGACGGAGCAACGCCGCGUGAGUGAUGAAGGUCUUCGGAUCGUAAAACUCUGUUAUUAGGGAAGAACAAAUGUGUAAGUAACUAUGCACGUCUUGACGGUACCUAAUCAGAAAGCCACGGCUAACUAC